rnacentral:rRNA from 1 species
UAGCUGGUUUCUCAGGAAAAGGAUUUUAGUCCAACCUAAAGUUCCACAAAUUUAACAAAAUUAAUCUUAAACUUUAGAGUAAUUCAAUUAAGGGACAGCUUACUUGAAAAAGGAUACAACCUAAACUAAUGGGUAUUUACAACUAACAUAACUAAGUGGGCCUAAAAGCAGCCAUCUUCAAGACAGCCCUAAAGCUCUACUACACAAUUAAUUUAAUCUCUUAAAACAAAUUUAACCCUUUAAUAUUACCGAGAAAUUCUAUUCACUUAUAGAAUCUAUAAUGUUAAAACAAGUAACAAGAAGAAGACUCUUCUCUUAAAUAUAAAUAUAAACCAAUAAGGACCCACCGCUGGUAAUUACACAUCAAUGAAAUACGCUAACAACCCUACAAGAAAAAUCUAGCAAAUUAAAUGUUAACCUUACACAAGUAUAUUUUAAGAAAGAUUAAAAGAAAAAGAAGGAACUCGGCAAAUUCUUGCCCUCGCCUGUUUACCAAAAACAUCGCCUUUUGAUUAUUAUAAAAGGUCCAGCCUGCCCAGUGACUUGUUUAACGGCCGCGGUAUCCUGACCGUG